rnacentral:rRNA from 1 species
UACGUAGGGACCAAGCGUUGUUCGGAUUUACUGGGCGUAAAGGGCGCGUAGGCGGCGUGUUAAGUCACUUGUGAAAUCUCUAAGCUUAACUUAGAACGGUCAAGUGAUACUGACGUGCUAGAGUGCGGAAGGGGCUACUGGAAUUCUCGGUGUAGCGGUGAAAUGCGUAGAUAUCGAGAGGAACACCUGCGGCGAAGGCGAGUCCCUGGACGAUACCUGACACUGAGGCACGAAAGCUAGGGGAGCAAACAGG